UUUGGUCAUUUAGAGGAAGUAAAAGUCGUAACAAGGUCUCCGUUGGUGAACCAGCGGAGGGAUCAUUACCGAGUUUACAACUCCCAAACCCAUGUGAACAUACCUACUGUUGCUUCGGCGGGAUUGCCCCGGGCGCCUCGUGUGCCCCGGAUCAGGCGCCCGCCUAGGAAACUCAACUCUUGUUUUAUUUUGGAAUCUUCUGAGUAGUUUUUACAAAUAAAUAAAAACUUUCAACAACGGAUCUCUUGGUUCUGGCAUCGAUGAAGAACGCAGCGAAAUGCGAUAAGUAAUGUGAAUUGCAGAAUUCAGUGAAUCAUCGAAUCUUUGAACGCACAUUGCGCCCGCCAGUAUUCUGGCGGGCAUGCCUGUCUGAGCGUCAUUUCAACCCUCAUGCCCCUAGGGCGUGGUGUUGGGGAUCGGCCAAAGCCCGCGAGGGACGGCCGGCCCCUAAAUCUAGUGGCGGACCCGUCGUGGCCUCCUCUGCGAAGUAGUGAUAUUCCGCAUCGGAGAGCGACGAGCCCCUGCCGUUAAACCCCCAACUUUCCAAGGUUGACCUCAGAUCAGGUAGGAAUACCCGCUGAACUUAAGCAUAUCAAUAAGCGGAGGA
rnacentral:rRNA from 1 species